ACCUGUCCUGGGGGUUAGUCUCCGAAAGCUUCUUCAGGAUCCUAGUUGUCAAAGAAAUAGAGGAUGGUAAAAACAUCGGAGGGGACACGCCUGGAGAAUAAGGUUAAAAUCCAUUGUCUGUUAUUUUAAUAAAUAUCAUCUUGUGGCUAUCAAGCAUGUUAUCAUACUUCUCUACGGUUUUGACUGCAAUUGCAAAACUCAAAGCCAGAAUUAAUAAAAAAUAGUUUUUCAAUGCUAAUAUCUUAGUUUUUAUGACAACAGGAAUUAAAUAUCUCUUGGCAUGAGUUUUUGUGAGAAAACUGUGAAAUCAUUCGGAGGGAACCAGCGGGAGACCCUUUUGAUUACACCAAGCGCUCCUCAAUUCCCUCGACGUGGUUGGGAAACGACAGUCGGCGCACUUCGUCGUUUUUCCGUCCGCUAGCGCUGUCCAGUUCCCCCAGAAACAAGGACAUUCAUUCACCAGAAGGCCACAAGACAGUUCACCAAGUGGGAUCCAAAUCCAUGGCCUCAGCAGUGCCUGUGCCAGUGCCAUCCUGGAGUCACGAGGCCCUAUUUGAAACUACAAACUAAGCAAGCUGCUCCCCCGUUGUGACUGUUUGACCGGCCUUUCUGUUGCCAACCUGUACUCCACUUCCUGACCUACCGGGGGUUUUCCUCCACCCCGCCUGCCUGCCUGAAACUCAUCAAGAUCAGGUGUGCUGGGAGACACACCUGGACCGCAUGUCGUCAAGGGGCUACAUAAGGACGAUGGAAGGAGUAGCGAAGGGGAAGACAGCGUGUUGGGUUCAGGUUAAAAUGAUUAAAGA